rnacentral:rRNA from 1 species
CAGCAGCCGCGGUAAUACGGAGGGUGCAAGCGUUAAUUGGAAUUACUGGGCGUAAAGCGCACGCAGGCGGUCUGACAAGUCAGAUGUGAAAUCCCCGGGCUUAACCUGGGAACUGCAUUUGAAACUGUCAGGCUGGAGUCUUGUAGAGGGGGGUGGAAUUCCAGGUGUAGCGGUGAAAUGCGUAGAGAUCUGGAGGAAUACCGGUGGCGAAGGCGGCCCCCUGGACAAAGACUGACGCUCAGGUGCGAAAGCGUGGGGAGCAAACAGGAUUAGAUACCCCUGUAGUCCCUGUCUCUUAUAC